rnacentral:lncRNA from 1 species
CCAUGUUCUAAAGUGACUUCCACUAAAGAUUUCAAUUUUGAAGUAUCAGGAAAGGUCUUAGUAGUGAUAACAGCAGCAUCCAUUUUCAAAUCUCUAUCCUUAAGAAUGUUAAAAAAAAUAUACUAGAGAAUAGAAAUUACUAGAUAAAAAUACUUAUUAUUUGAGGCAUGAUGUCACUAUCCUUAAGGGUAGAUUUUGCCCCUUGGAGAACAAAUCUCAAUGCAACAGGCUUUUAGGUGACCACUCUCCCAGGUAUAAUAUGUGCAUCUCAAUUGUGUGCACUCACGAUAUGAGAUCUCAGGAAUAUGAAACUAUUUUUGAUCCAAAAAAUUUUAAUAAAAAAUUAUAUGAAUAAAACUUUUUGGAAAAGGAGAAUAAGCUAUAAGGGUUAUUAAAGAAAGAUGAGAAAGUUAUAUUUUGAUGCA